CAAUAGCAAGCGAGUCGUCAGCUGACGCUGUUUUGCAUCUAUUGUACACAAGACUCGAGUGGAGACAGACGCACUGAAACACUGUGAACUCAUGUCAAAUCAUUCAGCGUUUAUUAUCUGACCUCUUCAGAAAGAUGCAGUUUAUGUUGUUGUUCAGCAGACAGGGAAAACUCCGGCUACAGAAAUGGUACGUGCCCCUGUCCGACAAGGAGAAGAAGAAAAUCACCCGGGAGCUGGUACAGACCGUUCUGGCCCGUAAGCCCAAGAUGUGCAGUUUCCUGGAGUGGAGAGAUCUUAAAAUCGUGUAUAAAAGAUAUGCCAGUCUGUAUUUCUGUUGUGCCAUUGAGGACCAGGACAAUGAGUUGAUCACUCUGGAGAUCAUCCAUCGAUACGUCGAACUGCUGGACAAAUACUUUGGCAGCGUCUGUGAACUAGACAUCAUCUUUAAUUUUGAGAAGGCUUAUUUUAUCCUGGAUGAGUUCCUGCUGGGCGGUGAGGCUCAGGAGACCUCAAAGAAGAACGUCCUGAAAGCCAUCGAGCAGGCAGAUCUCCUGCAGGAGAGCCAGACUGAAGACUGGGGAGGUUUGGCCAAUGAGGAGGUCUUAUAAAAGUCCCGCCCACUCGGUCAGCCUAUUGCCUCGACAUGAGUACUUUAACGUGCCUGUGUACUGAUUGGCUGUCGGUUGCUGUCCGUUCUGCAUGCUGAGCCCCACCCACUUCACAACACCCCUGCUGGCUCCGCCUCUGCAUCUGCACCGUCCUAUCAAAGAGCUGCACCUCCAGUCUCGUUUAACCCCUUCAUUGUGUGUAAAUUCAGAUUGUGUGUCUCGUUGUGUGUCGUUUAUGUGCGAGGUGUGUUUGUGAUGUUAUUCAUGUAUCACUCAAUGUGACAUUCAUUCAUGUAGCUGCAGGUAAUGUGAAACGCACGUUGUUUCAUAUUCAUUGGAAAAAUUCAGAUGAAGCAUUUUAGCUCACAAUAUUUAAGUCUUUUUUCUUUAAAAAUCUUUUCCUUAGUUCUCUUAUAAUUUACUUGCUCUUAUUGGUUUUAAGAUCUCAUAGGUGUGUUUUUCCCAUAUAAGAUAACAUGACAGCGUGUAUAUAUAUAUAAUGACUUCUUUGUGUUCAGUUGAGUAAAUGUUGUCAUAUAUGCCAUGAUGAUGAAUCAAUUAGAGAAUUUUUAUAUUUAGGUAAUAUUUUCCCUUUAAAUCAUCUAAAAUGUUUUGAUGUUUUUGUAGAUGAUGUGUUUGCAUUUUGUGGGGUUGGUCUGUGUGUGUGUAUACACUAAACUACAACACAACAGCUAUGCAGGUUCAGUGGUAAUACUGUAAAUAUAGUGUUGUAAAUUAUAUGAUUGUGUGCGUGCGUGCGUGCGUGCGUGCGUGCGUGCGUGCGUGCGUGUGUGUGUGUGUGUGUGUGUGUGUGUGUGUGUGUGCAUGCGUGUUUUCUGUGGUAGCAAGUUUUGAUUUAGUUUUUAUACAGCACAUUCACAUUUAUACUGUAGUAUGAUUACAAUCAAAUAUAAUGACACUGCUUUAUAAAACAUCAGACUUAAAGACAAAAAAAUUAUUCAGAUUGAAAUGCAAAAAGGAUUGGGAAACUCCAGCUUGAUGUUUUUGCUUUGAUAUAUUUGUUACAUAGAUUCAGUCUGCGUCCAAAUACCCACACUUGGCUGUGCACUUGACUACUUACCCAAGUGUUCUAGUGAAGAUCCUAAGUGUGCAUGUAGAGUUAUUCACCCAAUGGGACUUAGCAAGUGUAAAAAUGUCAAUCCAGGUACUGGCAGCAAUUUGCACCAAAAUAUAUUUCUUUGUCUUCAAAUAAAACGAAGACAUAAAGACUCUGAAACGAAUAUUUGCAAUACUUAAAGAUGACACUUAUCUGAAACUUUCAGAAGCAGAAUUAUUUGCAUCUGUAAAAAAAAAAUCUUUAUUUUGUGCAUGCAGCUUUAUUAAAGUUUAUUGUUUAUGAAGUCUCUAAAUAAACCACACAAUUAAUAUUUUGUCCUAAUUAUGUGAUAAAAGCAGUGGCAGAUAUUGUACAAAAGACAAAACAAUGUUUGCGCAAAUGAAAUGUGCAACACUUUCCGUUUUACUGCCAAAAAAUGUCAUAUCCAUUUAUAAACGUACAAUAAAAAGUUUCUGCGACAUCCCACAAGGUUUGGGCAAAAGUCUUACGAUUUACAUCCAGAACAUGAUGCAUGAUGGGAUACAUUUUGUCUUAAAUACCGCUCUGAAGGAGGGUUAAGGGCACUGCACUUUGCCAGUUUUAAGAUAGGGGCUCUCGAGUGGCCGAGUCCGCAAGUGUGGGUAUUUGGACGCAGCCAAAAAUGUGAUUUAUUUGUAAUUAGGAUGAAUGUACAGCACUUUUAGAUGUUCCUUUAGAUGUUUGAAUCUCCUUUAGUUUUUAUGAUAAUUUAUAUAAAACAUUGUGUUCUUUAUUUAUAGUGUUUGGUUUAAAGCAGAUGAAUUCUUAUUGCAAAGUUUCUGGCACAAAUCCGCUCGUGAAAAUAUGAGGUGUGAUUGAAUAGAAGACAUCAUCAAUAAUUGUGGUAAAAAUAAAUGAAUGAAAUACAAACCUGUGUUUUUUGAUGAAUGUCAUAAUAGUUUAAUUUUCAGUGAAGAUAAAACAUUUGGUUUGAGUACAUAAAUCACAGAGAUCACAGGGGUCUCCUUGAUAAAACUGUGCGUAGGAUAAAAGUCUGCACAAAAACCAAAAUGGCAUACCCAAAAAAAUAUUAAGACACAUAAAACAAAGCGAUGUUCCCUUUAAUAAUCAAAGAUCACCUGCAAGUGUGCGUACAUGAAUUAUCCUCAGAUCCCACCCUGCAAGCCCAUCCUCCCAUUAGUUUUUUUUUUUUUAUAAAUCACAACCUUUGUGUGGAAACUGCACUGUAAAAAAUACUUUGCUGCCUUAAAAUUUUUUGUUAAAUCAACUCAGAUUUACAAGUCAUGUCAGCAAAGAUGAGUUGUCACAACUUAUAAAAUAUAAUUUUUAGUUAUAACAACUUAUCUCUAGUCAAGAUAAAUAAUAGUAAGUUGAAAUGACUUGUAAAUCCAAGUUGAUUCAGCAAAAAAUUUUAAGGCAGCAAAGUAUUUUUUACAGUGUGGUGUAUGCACGUUUCCAGACCUGUUUUGUGCGUGUGCACACUUUAUAAAUGAGACCCCUGAUCUCUCUGUGAUUAUAUAAAGUUAAUAUCUGCUCUUGACAACAAACAAUGCAGAAGAGAGAAAUACUGUACAUUUAUUGGGCUUCACCACAGGCCAAACACAAGUGAGUCUUCAUUUAAACCAAGUUUUUGGGGCACAGAAAUCAUAAGUCCUGAUCCAGAUGUGCCUUUACCACAAGAGUACUGAGCCCAAAAGACAUUUCAACAAAUCUAAAUUGACCAUAUAUUUUAAUAUGUGUAUUUAAUAAACAAAUGAAACAUAAAUGUUAUAAUCUAUAAUCAGAAUGUAAUAAAUGGAGUAGGGCUGCAUAACAAUCGUAACUAAUCGUUUGCAGAAUAAAAGUUUUUGUUAACAUCAUAUAUUUGUGUGUAUUGUGUAUAAUAAUUUUGUAUACAUGCAUGUAUAAUUAGGAAAUAUUUAAUAUAUUUAUAUAUAAUUUAUUUUAUUAAAAUUAUACAUGCAUGUGUGUGUAUUUAUAUACACAUAAUUAUUAUACACGAUACACAAACAUAUAUGAUGUGUGUGAAACAAAAACUUUUAUUUUGUAACCGAUUAGUUGUGAUAAAUUGAUCUGCCCUAAUAUGAAGUAAAUCCACCACAAUCCACUGUCAACAAACAUCAGGUUAGACUUUAUUCUGGUGUGGAUCAUUCACUUUUAACUUAGAUGUUGUGUGUGAUCUUUAAAGGUUCUCCAUGUUCUUGACCGGUUCUUCAGCUGUGUCCUGGAUUCAAAUACAUGCUUUCUACAUACACAAUGUCUUUGAAAGCAGACCGCAAACCUUUAUUUUAAAGGGUGUAAAUGAAAGCUUUUAAAUAUUGACCCACUUACUUGCUCUUUUCUUUUUGUUCCCUAUUUUUUUGUCUCUGCUGUGUUCAGGAUGCCAAAGAAGCUGAAACUCCCCGCAGUGUCCUGGAGGAGAUCGGACUCACAUAAACCCAUCAGAGAUAAACCGUACCAAACCUAAACCCACUGAGAGCCUGUCCAUUUAAAGAUGUAGCAAACACACACACAACACAACACAACACACACAUCAUGAGUUCAUACACUGAAAUAUUGCUGUGAUCAGACUCAUGAAUCAAGCGUCUGAUGGAUCUGCAUCUGUACUCGUCUAUCACACAGAUUCUUCUGCUGUAUUCACACACUAAUGCAGAAAUCUGAGGGAAACGUUUUAUAUUCUUAAGAUCAUUUUACACAAUGUUUCCCAAUGCAUUGGAUUUUGUAGCAUUCACACACAGGUCACUUUUCUAAUACAGCACUUACGAGUUGUUGACCCUGUU